CCCCCCCCCCCCUCCCCCGCCGGCAGCGGUGGCCCCACCGCCGGUGCACCUGAUGGCGGCAGCGCGUCGGGAGGCAUCAGAUUCAUGGGAGGAAGGAGCAGCAGGAGCCGGAUCCACACCCAACCACCCAGCUCCCGUCCUCACCACCCUGCCGGUCGCAGCUUCCUCCAUCGCCGCCCGCCGCCGCCGCCGAUGCGCGGGACGACGAGGCAACUGCAGCCUCCCCGCCCCCUCCUCCUCCCCGCCGGCAGCGGCGGCCCCCACCGCCGGUGGUGGGCACAGCGGCGUAGGGACGGGGUCGACGCCACUCCCCUCCUCCGACGGUGCUCCCUCAUCCCGACCCCGUUCCGCGAGCCCGUUCCAAGAUCGAGGCGAGCCACGAGCAGCAGCCAUGAGCAAGGUGUUCGAGGGCUGCGAGAGGCAAUACUGCGUGGCCGCGGCCUCCCUCUCCCGCAAGUGCACCGCUGCCUCUGCCCUUGAUGGAGGUUGAAUCUCCGCAGAGAAGGAAGCAAAAGCUGUUCGAGAUCCAGUCCGGCGUGGAGGAAGCUGAAUCGCUGGUAAAUAGAUGCAUCAACGCAUUUUGUUCCAUAUGCACAUAUAGAUUCGUCUGCAAUUGAGAUCUAGUACACAUGCUGGAUGGAGGAUUUGAGCUAGCAGGUCAGUCAAACAAUCACGAAUUCAGCUUUUCACAGCAAUUUUGAUGAGUAAUAAUCUAGUAGAAAGCUGGAUUAAUUCUUUUCCCGUGAAAGCACAUUGAGUCAGAUCUCAUUUGGUGUUGGAGCUCAAUGUAUCUGCACAUCUAUUUGGAUGCAUUGAUACUUGAAUCGAGACUGCACCCAGUUUUGGGUAAAUCUCGUGUGCCUAAUGCUUUUGACACUACCAACUGUGAGCAUUGAAUUGUGAUCUCGAUGUAACCAAGCCUUCUGCAUGCUCUGUCUCAUGUUCAUGUAGUUUGUACUGAUUAUACUGUGCUGAUUUUUUUUCUUCUUGACAAUCAUUUUUAGUUGACAGUUUACUAAAAGAUCUCAAGCACGCUACCCAUGAUUCAGAUCAGAUAUUCCUAGUAUGAACAAAAGUGGUUCUUUUUAUUUUUAUUACUCCUUGCCCAUUCCAACCUCUGUCCCGUAUCUCCAGCAUCAGUUAAAAAAUGUCCUCGUACUGAAAUCUUGCUACGUCUCAAAUCCCUUAGGUUUUUCUCAUCAUCAAAUUACUGAUUUCAGUAUUACCUACAGAUGUGCAGAGCAAGGAGAAGAAUGUUGUAAGGCCAUCAGGGAGGUUGCCAAGUGAAACGACAUGGGAUCUGCAAAGCAAGUUGGAUACUAGGACUGCUUGCCGGAGAUUGCACGUGCUGGCGGUGUUGCUCGCUUGCUGGAGAUCACCCGUUAUGAAGCCUGGAGUUGCUUGCUUGCUGGAGAUCGCGUGCACAAGAGGAGCUGCUUGCUGGAGAGCGACAGACCACCUGUGGCAUGGCCGGCCAGCCGCAAGCAUUGAUCGAUGAUGUGAGGUGGACACAAUGAUCUCCAUUGAAAGCGCCAUCUUUGAGGGGACCCCAUCAUCACAAUUAGGAGCCUGUGUGGCACUGGUUCGGCCAGCUACAGUGGCUAGAGCUAAAGCCAGCGGAGCCUGGCCAAAUGGGGCCUAGGUGUUUAGGGACGAUUCCCCUUUGAUUCCCCUGUUCAGCACUCAAUGAAUUUUCUGCAGAGCAUCCAUGGUACAGUAGAUAGAUUGUGAGUUUCAUGUGAGGAUGGUAUAUUUAAAACCUCUCUGUAUAGAUUCUUAUGAAAAUGUAAGUUCGGAUUGGCAGAUGAUAGAAAUAGUGAUGCCAAUAUGGCUUCAUCUUGUGUGCU